ACUCUUAAUGUUAAACAAGCCACGACAAGGCUGUCCGCUAGACGUCCUUACAGCGCUGUGACUGCACUUGGUCAUUAAAAAAUUAUGACAAUUUUUUGUUUCACAUUUAGUCCACUAUGCAUUUUUCAAGUACAUUAAAGACACCUGCAAGAAGUAAAUGAGACAAUAAAUGAAAUAGCUGAGGCAUUUUUAAAAAAAUAUUGCCAUAAUGAAGAAAAGCACAACUGUCAGGACUUUACGAUGUUCCUUAACUGAGUCGGAAAAAGGCUACCCUAUGGUUGAAAAUAUUGCAGAAGUGUUUUGGGAAGUAUACUUUAUCACGAACACAAUUAUUUUAGAAGCACAAAGCAUUCAGUGAAGGUCGGCAUCAGAGAGAUAGCAGCGGAUUUUAACAUCUGUUAUGGAUCGACUCAAUCCAUUUGGGUUAGCCGACGUCGAGUAGAUGUGGCAUAAGAGAUUCUUGACAACGUAGCUGAGGACCCUACAUUCAUCAAACGCAUCAUUAUUGAUGACGAGACGUGGGUUUAUGAAUAUGAUGUCGAAAAUGAUCAACAAUAUUGCCGCCAAUGGCACUCCAAAAAUGAGUCGAAACCGUAAAAAAAUCAAUUUCGCUGAAGGCACUGAUGGCCAUCCCAGCCGAAGUUUAUAACAAGUGUUUGGAAAAUUGGAUUAAGCGUUGGUAUGCUUGCAUUAGCUGAGACUAUAAUAAAUAUUUGUAUUUAAAUACGUGAAAA